GAUGAACGCUGGCGGCGUGCCUAAUACAUGCAAGUCGAGCGAACGGACGAGAAGCUUGCUUCUCUGAUGUUAGCGGCGGACGGGUGAGUAACACGUGGAUAACCUACCUAUAAGACUGGGAUAACUUCGGGAAACCGGAGCUAAUACCGGAUAAUAUUUUGAACCGCAUGGUUCAAAAGUGAAAGACGGUCUUGCUGUCACUUAUAGAUGGAUCCGCGCUGCAUUAGCUAGUUGGUAAGGUAACGGCUUACCAAGGCAACGAUGCAUAGCCGACCUGAGAGGGUGAUCGGCCACACUGAAACUGAGACACGGUCCAGACUCCUACGGGAGGCAGCAGUAGGGAAUCUUCCGCAAUGGGCGAAAGCCUGACGGAGCAACGCCGCGCGAGUGAUGAAGGUCUUCGGAUCGUAAAACUCUGUUAUUAGGGAAGAACAUAUGUGUAAGUAACUGUGCACAUCUUGACGGUACCUAAUCAGAAAGCCACGGCUAACUACGUG
rnacentral:rRNA from 1 species